rnacentral:lncRNA from 1 species
UUACAAUUUUGUGCCACCAUUGCAUAGCAUAAUCCAAAACUUCCAAGGAGGCUAACUUAAAUUUUUAGUCAUCUUGGACCUCAUGUACAUUAAAGAUUUGUUCUACUUUAGCCUCCCAUUCUAGAUAAAUAUUGGGAUCACCUUCCCCACUAAAGCUAGGAAUAUUUACAAAUGGUAAAGAAGGCUUUGCUACAUUUUGGCGCCUAUCAUCAACAUGAUGCAUUCUCCAUUCGUCCUCUUCUUCAUGGCUACCAUAGUGAUCAUAACUUUUUUGAUUCAUGCCUAGGAUUAUGUCUUCUCCCGCUUUGAGGUUUAUCAUAGGCCGCUUCUAUCCUUUGGAGUCUCUCCUCCAUUUGCCUCAUCUCUUCAUCCUUUUGUGCUAUAGUUCUUUUUGUCGCCGCCAAUUCACCCAUAAGGAAUGCCUUUUGGGGGGGAUUGGGGUUUAGAAGAUUCUCCACUUGAAAUAUGAGCCAUAAAAAACAACAAAACACAAAUAACAAACAAUUAAGGAAAACGAAGUUAGAAAGAAAAAUAAUUCCAAGUUUGCGCCAGUUAUCAAGAUCACUCCAAGCACUCAAAGAAAGAAAUUUCUUCCCUUAGCCAAGGUCCCUCUUGUGGAUGAGAUACUCUCAACUGAAAAAGGUCAAAGCCUUCAACACUUGAUCUCAAAGGAAAAUCACCACAAAACAUUUUAAGGAAAGAAAAAAAAAACAAAACAAGAAAAGCUUAAACAAGAAAGGCUAAAUCAAAUUUGAAAAAGAGAAAAUGACAAAACCUAAAAAAGGAAGACAAACAAGAAAAGGCACACAAAAAGACUCUAAGAUACUUACUAAACUUUUAACCAGGAAACUUUUUCUUUAGAAAUUGUUAAAGCAAAAGGAUAAAAAAUUCCACAAGGUUGAAAACAAUUUGCCAAUCAAGUUGAAUCCAUAUUUUGGAAAAUGAUUUUUCUUUGAUAAGUGAUAACCAAAGAUGUUUUCUAAACUUUUCUUUGCUGUUUUUUUUAUACUAAUGUGACUUAUGGAAAGAAAUGACCAUAGUUUGUAUCAUGCAUAAUUUUCAAGAACUUUCAAUUUUCACAAAAAAAAUUGGUUGGAUUCAAUAUAAUUGAACACUUGAAAUCAUGUGUUUGGAACUUUAAAUCUACUUCUACUAAAACAAGUUUCUAAUUACUUUGCAAACUUCAAAAUUAAAAGCAAGUAGAAUCAAAACAAGGACUCCUAGAACACUAAUGAACAUAAGACUCAAAGUAAAAGGUAAGAUCAACAAAAGACAUAACAAGAAACAUAUUCAAAAUGAAAAAUGUUAUGAAUAUAAAAAUGGCCGGAAAAAAAAUUACAAGAAUUAAAGGGCUGGAAAAUAAAAAGCAAGAAAAUAAUGACAAUAAUUUAAAGGUACUUGAAUUUAAAGACAAGAAAGUAAAGGUACUUGAAUUUAAAGAAAAAAAUUAAAAGGGCUAGAAUGUAAAGAAAUUGUAAAGUGCGAAAUCAACUCAAGCAAAUUAAGCAUAAGAACAUAAGCUCUGAUAACCACAUGAUCUAAGUUGAUUUUAGGAUUGUUCAUUUAGGUGACACUUUAGAUUUAUGAUUGAGAUUGUUAGACAAUUAAAGAGUGAAAACCUAAGGAAAACCCCACUGGACAUUAACUUAACAAAGUGGUUAAGUAGAUGUGAAGGUUCAUUUCACAAAGGCAAAUGGAAAAACACAAUUAUAUGGUGAAGAUGAUGACAAAUGCGGUGCAGAAUUAAACAAGUAACAUAAGAACAAAAGAAAUGAUCGAAUGUAAUUCAAGGAAGCAAAAAUAAGAACAUGUUUAUGAAUAGAAUGGAAUGGACAUGGAAGGAAAAAAUGAAGGAAAAGAAAGCUUAUGAGGAAUGGUUCUGAGAUGGUGAGCACGCCACUUGGAUGGUGAAAUGACUCCAAGAUAAGUGAAGGAUGCCGCCACUUGAGAGCUCUCACACUCUCAAGAUAAGACUAAGACUAAGAGGACAAGCCUCACUAAUCAUUCACACACAAAAAUGUGCAGAGUAAUUUUUCUCUAUUUCAUUCAACUUGUAAAAUACACUAGGUAGACCUCCUAUUUAUAGGUGAAGUAGCCUUGGAGAACAAGCUAAAGGGGUAGGAUGGGAAAAGGAAAAAAUGGGCAGCCUUAGGGUUUGACUAAGUCAAUCCCGCAUCCUAGCCUUGUCCUUCUAGAAACUAGGUCAAAAUGCCUUCCAAAAGGGGCUAGGAACAAGCUACAAUGCUACCCACAAUCCCUAUUAUGCUAAAGGUACCUUAUUUUAGCAUAUAUUUGAUAUUUGGACCCCCAAAGUAAGCCUAAAAUUAUUUAUAACAUUUUCUAAUCAUUAAGAAGACCAACAGGGAGAACUUUAGAUGCACUGGUCCUUGUCCAAUUCUCCCUCUAGUGAGGUCUCUACUUUGAGAUGACUUCUCAUUGUGUAAAUGGUCAUUAGCAUCCUUGGUCAUCUCCUUGUUGGCUUGGUUUGCAUCAUCUCUUCAUCCUUUUCUGCUAUAGUUCUUUUUGUCGCCGCCAAUUCUCCCAUAAGGAAAGCCUUUUAGGGAGAUUGGGGUUUAGAAGAUUCUGUAGAGCAUGGAUGCUUUGAUGUUUCAAAUCCAUGAUGAAGCUUGAAGCGUUGCUGCUUUUGGUUUGGGUUUAGAUUAGAGUGUUUAGAAUCUAUGUAAAGAUCAGUUCUUAACCCUUGCAUAAAGCUUGGCCAAUCUGUUUUAAAAAAGCAAAGUGUUUUUCUAAGUAAAGAGAAAAACAACCAGUUGAAUUAUCAAAAUAGGUUGUUUAUCACUUGGCUUGUUUAAAGGUUUUGAAACUAUUUUUGACUUGGUUAUGUAACUGUCUGACCAAUUCAACCGGUUAAAACGACUUUUCAACCGGUUGAUUGUAACAUUUCCUAACAGUUUUUUGAAAACCUGUUAAUCUGUUUUAGGUGUGAUCAAAACUGCAUUGGCUCAUUAAUGUUGCCUUGAACGACUAGUUUUUGAAUACUAUAAAAUAGCCUUCCUUUCAAAACAAUAAACAACAAGUUUUACACAAGUUUGAAAUCAAAGAGAGAUUGAGAUUUGUUUUUUUAAAAAAAUUUCAAAAGAUUUGCAAGAUUGUUGUUUAACUUUGCACUGGUACAAGAUCUGACCAUAGGACUUCUUGGUUUGUGUAAUCUCAGGUGUUUUCUAUUCCUUUCAUGAUUCUUGUAAUUGUACUUUCAUAAACUUGUAAGUGUGUGUGUAAUCCUGCAAAGUCAGAGGGUGUUUUGACUUGAGGUGUAUGGUAUUGCAAAGAGGGUGAGUGGGUCUUGUAGUUUUCAAAGUCACCUCUUUGUGGUUGUGUUUUGUAAUCUGAGUGAUUACUAGUGGAACUCAGAGGUUGUUCUGAGAACUGGAUGUAGCUCAAGGUUUACUGAACCAAUAUAAAAUUUGUUGUGUAAAUCUCUCUAUCUCUAACUCCUUAUCAUUGUUUGUUUUAAUUCUGCUUUUGUUGCUGAUAUAAAUAACUGGUUAAAACGUGAUUUUAACCGAUUAAAAUUUUGUAAACAGUUUAUGUAUCAUUGGUUGAUUGCUUUCCUUAAUUGUUUAUCAGUGAUUGUUUGAUAAAGGUUCAUUCUUAAUCAAUCUUUGCGAAAAUCGUUUAGAAAUAAUUAACCCCUCCCCCCCUUGUUUAAGCUAUCAAUUCUUACAGAUUCUCCACUUGAAAGAUGAGCCAUUAAAAAAAAACAACAAAACAAAAAUAACAAACAAUUAGAGAAAAAAAAGUUAGGAAUAAAAAAAUUCAAGGUUGCGCCACUUGUAUCAAGAUCACUCCAAGCACUCAAAGAAAGAAAUUUGUUCCCUUUAGCCAAGGUCUCUCUUGUGGAUGAAAAACCGUCAAAUGAAAAAGGUCAAAGUCUUCAACACUUGAUCUCAAAGGAAAAUCACCACAAAACUUUUAAGGAAAUGAAAAGAAAAGGCAAACAAGAAAAGCUCAAACAAGAAAGGCUAAACCAAUUUUGAAAAAAGAGAAUAUGAUAAAACUUGAAAAGGAAGACAAACAAGAAAAGGCACACAAAAAGACUCUAAGAUAAUUACUAAACUUUUAACUAGGAAACUUUUUCAUUAGAAAUUGUUAAAGCAAAAGGAUAAAAAAUUCCACAAGGUUGAAAACAAUUUGCCAAUCAAG